rnacentral:rRNA from 1 species
CGGAGGGGCUAGCGUUGUUCGGAAUUACUGGGCGUAAAGCGCACGUAGGCGGACCAGAAAGUUGGGGGUGAAAUCCCGGGGCUCAACCCCGGAACUGCCUUCAAAACUAUUGGUCUGGAGUUCGAGAGAGGUGAGUGGAAUUCCGAGUGUAGAGGUGAAAUUCGUAGAUAUUCGGAGGAACACCAGUGGCGAAGGCGGCUCACUGGCUCGAUACUGACGCUGAGGUGCGAAAGCGUGGGGAGCAAACAGGAUU